rnacentral:lncRNA from 1 species
CAAUUCUGAAUAUCGAAGAGCCGAUUUAGAUCUCCUUCCAGAACUCUGACAGCAAGCUCAAAUUCGGAUGGCCACAUAUCGACAAUGAUAGCCCGGUAUUAUAAUGCAAGAGUCAAGCCAAAGAUCUUCCAGUCAGGAGAUUUGGUCUUAAGAAAAGCAGAAGUAUCAAAGCCUUUGAAUCAAGAAAAAUUAUCUCCGAACUGGGAAGGAUCUUACAGAAUAUCCGAGACUC